CAAGAUCAUUAUUUUUAUUAGUGUUCUUUUAAAGUGAAACAAUGCAUCUUAUUUGACUUUCUUGGCAUGCAGUUAAACAAAAUGAUUUACAAACACUCAAAGCAAUUUUGGAUGGUUUUCUGGGGGCCUUGGGAAAGUAAAAGAGCACAGCUUAACUAAACAUUGUGUUCUAGUCUCGGACCUGAUCCUACCUCAUCUUCCUUACUUCGUACCCAUCUCUCCAGUUCUACUUGAAGGAAUAGUCUGGACCCCCCCCCCCCACAAGUAGCCUUUGAUGUUAAUGGAAGUUUCUGAAAUAUUCCAAAUAGGAAAUGGGCCUCUGUGACUUUCUCCAAUGGGGCCAAGCUCCUUUUCAUGUUGCACAGCUGAAGCCCAGGAGACAGGGGUGCAAGAGGAGUGAGCCAUGUAAAGGCUGGUGGGGGCCAGGGUGAGAGUGGGGGUUUGUUCCAACCCUUAAUUUCACAUUUUGUUGUAAUACAGUGGUUCUCAAGCCUCGGAGUUUUUAAUACCUGGUUAAGCGCUGUAUAUCACCUAGUUAAGCACUAUCUAAGCCCUUAGGAUUUUCAAGGAUUCCAAGGGCCAUCCAUAGUGCCCUUGCUUCUGGGGGCAGGAAGGUUAGGAAGGAGGAAUGGUCUGAGAGGAAAGGAGGGUGGCAGGCAGGGAAGGCCUGGGAAUUAGAUCAGGGGUUUUCUGGUGGGGGGGGGGUAGGGUCUCACCUGUGGCUAAUGGAAGUUCCUGGACUACGGGUGGAUUUGGAGCUGCAGCUGCCGACCUACACCAAAGUCAUGGCAAUGUGGGAUUUGAGCCACAUCUGCGAAUUACACCACAAUUGUGGGCGACGAUCCUUAACCCACUGAAGAAGGGAGGCCAGGGAUUGAACCCAUGUCCUCAUGUAUAUUAAUCAGGUUUUUUACUGCUGAGCCACAACAGAAACUCCAGAUCAGGAUUUUAAGAGGGGGUCUAAAUGUAAUUUCUCAGGUAUUAAUUCAUUUCUCAGGUAUUAAUUCAUUUCUCAGGUAUUAAUUAAGUCUCCAUCAGGGCAAGACAGAAGGGUGACCUUAAAAGCAAGUCCUCAGGAGUUCCCAUUGUGGCUCAGUGGAAAUGAAUCUGACUAGGAACCAUGAGGUUGCGGGUUUGAUCCCUGGCCUUGCUCAGUGGGUUAAGGAUCCGGUGUUGCAGUGAGCUGUGGUGUAGGUCAAAGACACAGCUCAGAUCUGGCGUUGCUGUGGCUGUGGUGUAGGCCAGCAGCUACAGCUCUGAUUUGACCCCUAGCCUGGGAACUUCCAUAUGCCACAGGAGAGGCCCUCAAACGAGGAAAAAAAAAAAAAAAAAAAGUCCUCGUCUUGCCUUAGUCUGUCUUAUGUUAUUCUGUAUCCAAUAUAGAUAAAAAUAGAUUUAAAUAGUGAUAAUUUUGAAAUUCCUCUGUGGCUCAGCAGGUUAGGGAUCCAGUGUUGUCACUGCAGCUGCUUGGGUCUCUGCUGUGGAGUGGGUUUGAUCCCUGGCCCUGGGAACUUCCACAUGCCGCAGUGUGGCCAAAAAGAAAACAGAAGGGGGAGUUCCCGUCGUGGCGCAGUGGUUAACGAAUCCGACUAGGAACCAUGAGGUUGCGGGUUCGGUCCCUGCCCUUGCUCAGUGGGUUAACGAUCCAGCGUUGCCGUGAGCUGUGAUGUAGGUUGCAGACGCGGCUCGCAGCUCGGAUCCCGCGUUGCUGUGGCUCUGGCAUAGGCUGGUGGCUACGGCUCCGAUUGGACCCCUAGCCUGGGAACCUCCA
ensembl:lncRNA